rnacentral:rRNA from 1 species
AACGAACGCUGGCGGCAGGCCUAACACAUGCAAGUCGAGCGAGGACUUCGGUUCUAGCGGCGGACGGGUGAGUAACGCGUGGGAAUGUGCCCUUCUCUACGGAAUAGCCCUGGGAAACUGGGAGUAAUACCGUAUACGCCCUAUUGGGGAAAGAUUUAUCGGAGAAGGAUCAGCCCGCGUUGGAUUAGGUAGUUGGUGGGGUAAUGGCCUACCAAGCCGACGAUCCAUAGCUGGUUUGAGAGGAUGAUCAGCCACACUGGGACUGAGACACGGCCCAGACUCCUACGGGAGGCAGCAGUGGGGAAUCUUAGACAAGGGGGGCAACCCUGAUCUAGCCAUGCCGCGUGAGUGAUGAAGGCCUUAGGGUUGUAAAGCUCUUUAAGCUGGGAAGAUAAUGACGGUACCAGCAGAAGAAGCCCCGGCUAACUCCGUG